UACGGGGGGGGCAAGCGUUGUUCGGAAUUACUGGGCGUAAAGGGCUCGUAGGUGGCCGACUAAGUCGGACGUGAAAUCCCUCGGCUUAACCGGGGAACUGCGUCCGAUACUGGUUGGCUUGAGUUUGGGAGAGGGAUGCGGAAUUCCAGGUGUAGCGGUGAAAUGCGUAGAUAUCUGGAGGAACACCGGUGGCGAAGGCGGCAUCCUGGACCAAUACUGACGCUGAGGAGCGAAAGCCAGGGGAGCAAACGGG
rnacentral:rRNA from 1 species